rnacentral:rRNA from 1 species
CCUACGGGUGGCAGCAGUGAGGAAUAUUGGUCAAUGGGCGCGAGCCUGAACCAGCCAAGUCGCGUGAGGGAUGACGGUCCUACGGAUUGUAAACCUCUUUUGCCGGGGAGCAAGCGUGCGUUCGUGAACGCGCAUCGAGAGUACCCGGAGAAAAAGCAUCGGCUAACUCCGUGCCAGCAGCCGCGGUAAUACGGAGGAUGCGAGCGUUAUCCGGAUUUAUUGGGUUUAAAGGGUGCGUAGGCGGGAUGCUAAGUCAGCGGUAAAAAUGCGGUGCUCAACGCCGUCCAGCCGUUGAAACUGGCGCUCUUGAGUGGAAGAGAAGUAUGCGGAAUGCGUGGUGUAGCGGUGAAAUGCAUAGAUAUCGCGCAGAACCCCGAUUGCGAAGGCAGCAUACCGGCUCCACACUGACGCUGAGGCACGAAAGCGUGGGUAUCGAACAGGAUUAGAUACCCUUGUAGUC